rnacentral:misc_RNA from 1 species
GAUGAAGAACGUAGCGAAAUGCGAUACGUAAUGUGAAUUGCAGAAUUCAGUGAAUCAUCGAAUCUUUGAACGCAUAUUGCGCUCUUUGGUAUUCCGAAGAGCAUGCUUGUUUGAGUAUCAGUAAACACCUCAAAGCUUUUGGAUUUUUUAAUCGAAAAGCUUUGGACUUGGGCAAUCCCAACACCAAUCUUUUUGAGAUCGGUGGCGGGUUGCUUGAAAUGCAGGUGCAGCUGGACAUUCUCCUGAGCUAAAAGCAUAUUCAUUUAGUCCCGUCAAACGGAUUAUUACUUUUGCUGCAGCUAACAUAAAGGGAGUUUGACCGUAUUGGCUGACUGAUGCAGGAUUUCACAAGGGUCGGCAACGAUUCUUGUUAAACUCGAUCUCAAAUCAAGUAAGACUACCCGCUGAACUUAAGCAUAUCAAUAAGCGGAGGA